AGUGAACGCUGGCGGUAGGCCUAACACAUGCAAGUCGAACGGCAGCACAGUAAGAGCUUGCUCUUACGGGUGGCGAGUGGCGGACGGGUGAGGAAUACAUCGGAAUCUACUUUUUCGUGGAGGAUAACGUAGGGAAACUUACGCUAAUACCGCAUACGACCUACGGGUGAAAGCAGGGGAUCUUCGGACCUUGCGCGAUUGAAUGAGCCGAUGUCGGAUUAGCUAGUUGGCGGGGUAAAGGCCCACCAAGGCGACGAUCCGUAGCUGGUCUGAGAGGAUGAUCAGCCACACUGGAACUGAGACACGGUCCAGACUCCUACGGGAGGCAGUAGUGGGGAAUAUUGGACAAUGGGCGCAAGCCUGAUCCAGCCAUACCGCGUGGGUGAAGAAGGCCUUCGGGUUGUAAAGCCCUUUUGUUGGGAAAGAAAAGCAGCAGGUUAAUACCCCGCUGUUCUGACGGUACCCAAAGAAUAAGCACCGGCUAACUUCGU
rnacentral:rRNA from 1 species